UUUAUUUUUCUCUUGUUGGAAAAAUAGUACUCAUUAAAGGAACUGAAGAUGUUACUGAGACUACCUCUUCAGGCAGCAUGACAAGCCCAGCAGUAGUGUAUAGGAGUUUUUUCCACUGGAGUUUCUUGCAAAGAAAAAUAACUCAUUUUCUUAUUCAGACUUGUAUCUGAUUGUCAUCCUCCCUCUCUGUAUGUUUUGUUGAACAGGCAUCGACUGCAAAAACUACCCCAGAUCGAAGAACAGUUCAUUUGAAUUUGAGACAAGAAUCCUGAACAGCUGUUACUGACUUCAGGCCAUAUGCAGAAGAAAGAAAUUGAGAGCCACCUCCUCCAAAGUUGAGAAAUGCAUCAUUGUGUCAUCAUUAAGUGUUCCAGUUAAUAGUGGUCACUUUCAGCACUGGAAGAUGUUGCAGUUAAUGUGCAGUUCCUGGCUCUUGGCUGAUAGACUCCUGUAUGAAACCAGCCUUUCCAGCAGCCAAGGCAGAAAGACAACCUGACUUCAAAACAGAGUAAGCAGACUUGAUCUCACCAUGCCUUGGCUAUCCCGGGGAUUGAAAUUGCACUGAGCCCAGAAUAGAUGUGCAUGGAAAUUGCGCAUUUUCAACUGAUGGCUGCACAAGAUCAGAAGCUGUGGCAAUGCUGACACUUUUGGCCUGGAACUUGGCAGGGCUGUGAAAAACUGUGGAGCUGCUGUUGCAAAUGGCUCAUUUUCUGACUUGGAGGGGAAGGACUUGUAGUUUCAGAUGUACCACUUCUGCAGAUCAGUGACAAGGGGGGAGACUUUGGUAUCAGUCCACUAGCUUAUCUCUCACAAGCUGAGAGAAGUUAAUAUAAAGCAUUGUAAUCUCUUUCACAGCCUCCAGGACUCAUAAGAAAUCAUAAGAAGAAGUUUCUCAAGCUUAAAGUGUUCUAUAGGAUACUAAAUCUUAAGUCUCCUGGAGGCCACUGGGGAAAUGAAAAGGUGUAGUUGUCACAUUUUGUCAAAGUAUAACAUCUAUAUAAUAAGCCAGUUAGCUCCCUUUCUUCAGACCCAGCCCAGCUUGACGUACUAGGGCCAUGUUCUUUGUUUUCCAGUUUUAUUGAUGUGGGUUUUUUUUUUUUAUCAAAGCAAAAUAAAGCUCACCUUGGGCCAGAGCCUCAGA